GCCGAGGUAGCUCAGUGGUAGAGCAGAAGCCUGAAGAGCUUCGUGUCGAUGGUUCGAUUCCGUCUCUCGGCACCA
rnacentral:tRNA from 1 species